rnacentral:ribozyme from 13 species
UAAUUUUUUUUUUCUUUUCUUCUUUUCUUUGGUUUUCUGGAGUCCCACAAUUAAGUAUGACCGAUCGUGCAUUCCUAAGUAAGCAUACAAGCACAUACGAGGCCGGAAUUGAACCAAAACGGGAAAGAGCAGCAGGAUCAAGACAAGGAUUUGAUUUAUCUUCUUCAUCU